rnacentral:rRNA from 1 species
AUUGAACGCUGGCGGCAGGCCUAACACAUGCAAGUCGAGCGGAUGAAGGGAGCUUGCUCCUGGAUUCAGCGGCGGACGGGUGAGUAAUGCCUAGGAAUCUGCCUGGUAGUGGGGGAUAACGUCCGGAAACGGGCGCUAAUACCGCAUACGUCCUGAGGGAGAAAGUGGGAGAUCUUCGGACCUCACGCUAUCACAUGAGCCUAGGUCGGAUUAGCUAGUUGGUGGGGUAAAGGCCUACCAAGGCGACGAUCCGUAACUGGUCUGAGAGGAUGAUCAGUCACACUGGAACUGAGACACGGUCCAGACUCCUACGGGAGGCAGCAGUGGGGAAUAUUGGACAAUGGGCGAAAGCCUGAUCCAGCCAUGCCGCGUGUGUGAAGAAGGUCUUCGGAUUGUAAAGCACUUUAGGUUGGGAGGAAGGGCAGUAAGUUAAUACCUUGCUGUUUUGACGUUACCAAAAGAAUAAGCACCGGCUAACUUCGUG